UAUCUCUCCGUACGGGGAAGGAUGAGAAGCUUCGACUAAGGUUCGAUUCGAGCGCAGCGAGAAAGCGUUGCCGCAGGCAACGACCCGAAGGGCGAAGCGCGCAGCGCUGAGU
rnacentral:sRNA from 4 species